UCAGACGAUGCGUCAUGCAUAUCAAUAAGCGGAGGAAAAGAAACUAACAAGGAUUCCCUUAGUAACGGCGAGUGAAGCGGGAAGAGCUCAAAUUUGAAAUCUUCAAGGUUUUACCUUGACGAAUUGUAGUUUAAAGAAGUGUUUUCUGCUGAAGUUUUGGUAAAAGUUCUUUGGAAUAGGACAUCAUAGAGGGUGAGAAUCCCGUAUUUGACCAUUAUUUUCAGCUUUGUGAUACACUUUCAAAGAGUCGGAUUGUUUGGGAAUGCAGCCCAAAACGGGAGGUAAAUUUCUUCUAAGGCUAAAUAUUGGCGAGAGACCGAUAGCGAACAAGUACCGUGAGGGAAAGAUGAAAAGAACUUUGAAAAGAGAGUUAAACAGUACGUGAAAUUGUCAAAAGGGAAGCGUUUGACACCAGUGUUGUUUUCUCGAAAAUCAAUUAAAAAUGGCUCGAUUUUGUAUUGUUUGAGACCUUAAAAGCUCACUGUACAUUUUUCGUGUCUUUUUUAAUGCACUUUUCGUUUAACAAGUCAACAUCAGUUUCUUUUGUUGUAAAAGGGUCAUUGGAAGGUGGCUUUCUUUUCGGAGAAAGUGUUUAUAGCCUUUGGCCUCUGCAAUCGGAGAGACUGAGGUCUGCAGCGUAGACUCUUCGGGGUUAGAUACAUUUGUGCUAAGUUAUAGCUUUUUAUAGACAACUUGUUGACUAUAAUUAGUCUUGUAGCUUACUCGCUUAUGCUAUUUUACCUACGCUUAGGAUGUUGACUGAUAUGUAGUCGUA
rnacentral:rRNA from 1 species